rnacentral:lncRNA from 1 species
GGGGUAAGGGAGGAGUGAGCCUGGGUGCUGUGGGGGGAGGGGGUUGUUCAAGGGAUGGGGACGAUCAGGGUCUCUGGGAAGUGCUGACGUGUGCGCGUGUGCGGUGUGUUGCUUGUGGGUGCGUGUGUGGUGUGUGCAUGUGUGUGCGCGCGCGUGUGUGCGGGGUGUGCCGUGAGCGUGUGCCCGCGGUUCGGGGGAUGAGUAGGGGCGCUGACUUUUAGGACCAGCCAUUUGAGUCAAGCUGGAGACGACGUCUUAGAACCUAGGAUGAGUCUCGUUUGGUUUUAGUCUGCAAAGCUCGUCUGCAUCAGACAGGAAUUUUCCCCAGACGCGGGUGCACGUGAAUUAAUUCAUCAGAAGGCGGUUCACGGCCUGAGUGAGGGGGACGAGGGCGGCGAAUUCCUCCGCCUCAUUCCUACCCUGACGAUUCGAGAUGCUCGCUUCACCCCACUGAGAUGUAACUCAGUUUUGUGGGAUCCCACUGCCCUCCAGGUGCCGCUCCGAGUGCUCUACACAGAUUUUCAUUCAGUCCUUGCGGCACACGAAGGGAUGGCCUCUGCACUUCAGCUGGUUUCUGACACCUAAAAACAGAAGUGGAAAAGGGAGCAGACGCAGCCACAUUUUGAAAGCUGAUUCGGUUGCUUUCUGGCAGAAUCCCUGCCCCCAAGCACCUGCCAGGCCCACCCAUGAAGCCUCUUCCCACGCCUUAACUCUGCCCCAUGAGGGGACCUCAAGCAGUUGCAGUCUAGUCAGGUGAUUUGCAGAGCUCAGGGCUCAGGGAGGGGCACCCACCUCAGAAAAAAGCGCCGUGCUCAUGAGAAAUGACUUCUACAGGUUGUUGGGGAAAGAGGAGUUAUUUUAAAGAUCACAGAGCCCGUGAUGUGCCAGGCGCACCCACACAGGGCAUAUAGUCCCCGCAGCUGCCUCUGUGCUGGGGCCACGUCACCGUCCUGUCCUAAAGACAAGCAAUGUGAAGCCCAGAGAUGGUAUCUUAAAACAAUCGUGUGGUUUUUUUCUGAUUACAACAGCAAUUGUGUUAAUCCAACAAUAUUUUUCCUAUCAACUGUAAACCUUAUUUUAAUAUUUACAUAUUUAUUAGCAUUUAAAAUUCAAUCUCCUAGAAUAUUGACUUCAAUUAGUUUGGCUGAUUCUAAUUUUUUUUUUCUAAUUUGUUUAUCACUUAACUUUUUAAGUACUUUUUUUUUUUAGACAGAGUCUUGCUCUGUCACCCAGGCUGGAGUGCAGUGGUGCAAUCUCGGCUCACUGCAACCUCUGCCUCCUGGGCUCAAGCGAUUCUCCUGCCUCAACCUCCCGAGUAGCUGGGACUACAGGCUCACACCACCAUGCCCAGCUAAUUUUUAUAUUUUUAGUAGAGAUGGGGUUUCACCAUGUUGUCCAGGCUGGUCUCGAACUCCUGACCUCAAGUGAUCCCCCACCUCAGCCUCCCAAAGUGCUGGGAUUACAGGUGUGAGCCACCGUGCCUGGCCUGUUUUUAGUACUUUUAUCCUUUAUCUUUUUAACUACGUAAGUACUCAACAUUUUAAAUUAUUAAUCUUCACCAUGUUAUUUCCAAGAACAAUCACGAUUGAUCUUUCAGUUACACAGCCACGGUGUGUGCCUCUCUGUGUAACUCUGCACAGCUGGUGAUUUACUGAAAGAACUUACUCUCAUAAAACCACAGCCAGCGAGUUCUCAGAGACACAAUAAUGCACCUUAAUUAUGAGUUUAAAAGCUCUUGUCUUGUGAAAUGUAAUCGAUCCACAGAAAAAUCAUAAAGUAUACAUGUAAUAGCUUAAUGACUUAUAAAUGAAGAUCUGUAUACUUCCCACUCGAAAAACGGAAUAUUGCAGGAUUUGAGUACACAACCCGUACCUUUCCAACGACAGCCUCCCUCCCACCAGAGCUUCUGCUGAGUUCACUUGAAAUCACUUCCUUGCAUUUAUUUAUACUUUUAUUACCUUGAGGUGCAUCCCUAACCAUUCUAGUUCGAUUUUGCCUGGUGUUUGAACUUUAUAUUAAUGGAAUCAUAGGACAUAAUUCUUAUAUCUCUGGUUUCUUUCAUUCAACUUUGUGUCUGCGAAAUGUAUCCAUGUUGCAUGCAACGGGGGCUCAUUCAUCGCUGGUUACUGAUUCACUGCAUGAGUAUGACACAGUUUAUUAACCAUUUCACUGCUGAUGAACAUUUGAUCAUUUCUAGUUUGGGAAUAUUAUUAAUAAUUUUUGAACCUUCUUAUUUGUGUGCCCUGAUGUACAUGGACAUGCAUUUUAGGGGUGUAUACUUAGGGAAAUUGCCGGUUCAUGAGUAACACCUAUCUUCAGGUAUUACUUUUUGUGCCCUUUUAUGCUGAACUACAAUUUACGUGCAAUACCAAUCAUUCAUAUUAAGUGUACAACUCAGUGAGUUUAGACAACUGGACACCUUGUUGUGAGUCACCACCACCGAGAUGAUCCAGCACUGUCCCAACUCCCCCCAAGUUCUCCUUUGCAGGCACCCUCUCCCUCCAUUCUGGGCACAGGCAACCAUGAACCACUAUCUGUCACCGUAGCUUUAGUAUAAAAUUUCACAUACAUGGACUCAGGGAGCAUAGAGUCUUUCCUGUCUGGCUUCUUUCCGCUGGCAAAAUGCUUGGAGACUUUUCCACGUUGCUGCAUGAAUCAAUGGAUCAUUUGUUUUCGUGGCUGAGCAGAAUUCCACCAACAUUUGUUUACUCAUCCAUGAAAUGAUGGACAUUUGGUGUUUUUCCAUUGAGAUUGUUAUGAAUAAUGCUGCUAUUGUCAUUCAAGGACAAGUCUUCUGUGAACAUCUGUUUUCACUUCUCUUGGGUACAUCCUUAGAAGUGGUAUUGCUGGACUGUAUCAAAAGUUAAUAUUUAACUUUCAGGAAACUUACAAACUGUUUUCCAGAGUGGCUGUACCAUUUUGCAUUCCCAGACCGAAGUGUGAAAGCUCCAGAUGCCCCACGCCCUCACCAGCCCACGGUGUUGUCAGCCUUAAUAGUGCUGACCAUUCUGCCUGUUAAUAUGAUGAAUUACACUGAUUCAGUUUCAAAUGUCCAACCAAGCUUGCACUCCAGAGAUGAAGCCCACUUGAUCACAUGGAUUAUUCUUUUAAUAUAUGAUGGAUACGACUUGGCUGUUCUUUUGUUGAGGAUUUUUGUGUUUAUGUUAAUGAGGAUAUUAUUUGUAGUUUUCUUUUCUUGUAAUGUUUUUGUCUUUGUUCAGUGUCAGAGUAAUGCCAACUUCAUAAAGUGAGCUGGGAAGUA